rnacentral:lncRNA from 1 species
AUGUCUCUUGAGGUCUUUUGCCAUUUUCCCCUUGGGUUUGGGGUUUUGUUGGGCUGUUGGCUGGUGUCUGCGGUCGAGCUGUUGAUUGGGAGACCCCAGGCUGACCUGGGCUCUGGUGCCAGGAGGAAAGUGCCUGAGGGUCGUGCAUGGAAGGUGGUCAAACGGUCCCCAAGAGUCCCCCCAAUCCCCUGGGGAACAGAGCUGUCUUUGUCCCUGUGGCGGGCGUGCUCACCUCUGCUGCUGGGAAAACAUCGACGUGCAGACAACUCAGGCCAGCUGCGGUGGGGUCCAUACACUAGGAAGCACGAGGGAAAGAGAGGACAAAAGGAAUGAACGGAAAGAAGCAGUAUUCUGGCAUAGGAAUGAAGGAGUCACAGCUGGAAUGCUAUGAAUUAAAUUUAAAAGCCCCGCUAUGUUCAUGCAGCACUCUUCCCAAUAGCCUGACAUGGAAAACAACUCAAUGUCCAUCGAGAGAUGAUUGGAUUAGGAAGAGAGUGGAUAUGUACACAUUGGAAUGCUCCUCAAACAUUGAGAAAAAAAAAAAAAAGCAGAACCCAGAAAACCCCAGAGCAAGAGGAAAAUGCCAUUCGCAGCCAUGUAGGUGGCACGAGAAGCUAGGUAACAACUCGUUUCAUACUAGGUGAACUAAGUCGGAACACGAACGACACAUACCAAGGGCUAUCCCUUCUAUCUGGAAGCUAACAAAUGGAACCAACGAAGCUUUCUAUGUAGAAGCAGCUCAUAGACUGGAAAACAUCGCUGUGGUUGCCAGAUGGUAGGGGGAGGCUGUGGGAAGGCCUGGGAUUUGGGAGUGGUAGAGUCAAACUCUUGUGCUUGGCAUGUGUUAGCAAUGAAGUCCUGCUCUAUAGCACAGGGAUUCUACCUGGCCACUUCUGUGGAACCAAAAUGGAAGACACUGCGACCAAAAGAAGAUGGAUAUACAUUACGACUGGAUUAAUUUUUUGUUCAAGUCAAAUUGAGCAUCAUAAAUUCGUGAAAAUAUAAAGUAAUCACUGAUUAAAUCCCAUAAAAUUAAUUCCUUAUGAUUCACCAUAUUAUGCAUAUUGGUAUAUACAUCUGCCUCUUUAGAAGACAGUCUAAUUGACUCCAUUGAACCUGAGAAGUUUUACCGGUAAAAUGACAUGGGAGCAGAUGUAAUUACCCAGUGUGUAUGUAUUUGUAUAAUAAUAUUUUUUAAUUUUUAAAUUACAUAUUUAUAUUCCUCCCCCCAUGUGUUGCAUGCAGAUACACUCUUCUCUGCAAAUGAUUCCACUCCUAUGCUCUAUAUCCCAAAUCUUGUACUAAAACACUCUGCCACCUGAUGUAAAGGUUU